GAUGAACGCUGGCGGCGUGCUUAACACAUGCAAGUCGAACGGAAGGGCCAGUGCUUGCACUGGUACUCGAGUGGCGAACGGGUGAGUAACACGUGGGUGAUCUGCCCUGCACUUCGGGAUAAGCCUGGGAAACUGGGUCUAAUACCGGAUAGGACAAUGGUUUGGAUGCCGUUGUGGAAAGUUUUUUCGGUGUGGGAUGAGCUCGCGGCCUAUCAGCUUGUUGGUGGGGUAAUGGCCUACCAAGGCGUCGACGGGUAGCCGGCCUGAGAGGGUGUACGGCCACAUUGGGACUGAGAUACGGCCCAGACUCCUACGGGAGGCAGCAGUGGGGAAUAUUGCACAAUGGGCGCAAGCCUGAUGCAGCGACGCCGCGUGGGGGAUGACGGCCUUCGGGUUGUAAACUCCUUUCGCUAGGGACGAAGCGUAUUUGUGACGGUACCUGGAGAAGAAGCACCGGCUAACUACGUG
rnacentral:rRNA from 1 species